GACACCUCUGGUAGCCUAAACAGUUAGAGCAUCUGCCUUGGAUGCAGGAGGUCAUGGGUUCAAAAACCCCGACCAAGUCA